GCCUGGCAGUUAGAUGCUCAGUUUGUUAAAUGGAUAGUAGGAGACACAGGAGUGUCAACUAUCCACACAUUUGAUUGGUGAGCCCUACUAGCCCUGGGUCAACGUGCCCUGUAAGAGCAUGAUCAAAAGGAAGUCCAGCUUUCCUGCCUCUCCACUUGCACCCCUUAGCAUUAAAUUUCUUUCCCCGUGCUGUGAAAUCUGAGAAUCCUGCCUAUGCUAUUCACAGGCCCAGAGCCAUGGCUAUCUCCUCUUCCUCCUGCGAACUGCCCCUGGUGGCUGUGUGCCAGGUAACAUCGACGCCAGACAAGCAACAGAACUUUAAAACAUGUGCUGAGCUGGUUCGAGAGGCUGCCAGACUGGGUGCCUGCCUGGCUUUCCUGCCUGAGGCAUUUGACUUCAUUGCACGGGACCCUGCAGAAACGCUACGCCUGUCUGAACCACUGGGUGGGAAACUUUUGGAAGAAUACAGCCAGCUUGCCAGGGAAUGUGGACUCUGGCUGUCCUUGGGUGGUUUCCAUGAGCGUGGCCAAGACUGGGAGCAGACUCAGAAAAUCUACAAUUGUCACGUGCUGCUGAACAGCAAAGGGGCAGUAGUGGCCACUUACAGGAAGACACAUCUGUGUGAUGUAGAGAUUCCAGGGCAGGGGCCUAUGUGUGAAAGCAACUCUACCAUGCCUGGGCCCAGUCUUGAGUCACCUGUCAGCACACCA
rnacentral:sRNA from 1 species